AUUGAACGCUGGCGGCAGGCCUAACACAUGCAAGUCGAACGAGUGGCGGACGGGUGAGUAGUGUCUGGGAAACUGCCUGAUGGAGGGGGAUAACUACUGGAAACGGUAGCUACUACCGCAUACCAUCGGAUGUGCCCAGAUGGGAUUAGCUAGUUGGUGGGGUAAAGGCUCACCGGGUCGACGCUCCCUAGCUGGUCUGAGAGGAUGACCAGCCAAACUGGAACUGAGACACGGUCCAGACUCUGACGGGAGGCAGCAGUGGGGAAUAUUGCACAAUGGGCGUAAGCCUGAUGCAGCCAUGCCGCGUGUAGGAAGAAGGCCUUCGGGUUGUAAAGUACUUUCAGCGGGGAGGCGUUACCCGCAGAAGAAGCCACGGCUAACUCCGUGCCAGCAGCCGCGGUAAUUC
rnacentral:rRNA from 1 species